rnacentral:rRNA from 1 species
AUUGAACGCUGGCGGCAUGCCUUACACAUGCAAGUCGAACGGUAACAGGUUAAGCUGACGAGUGGCGAACGGGUGAGUAAUAUAUCGGAACGUGCCCAGUUGUGGGGGAUAACUGCUCGACAGAGCAGCUAAUACCGCAUACGACCUGAGGGUGAAAGCGGGGGAUCGCAAGACCUCGCGCAAUUGGAGCGGCCGAUAUCAGAUUAGCUAGUAGGCGGGGUAAAAGCCCACCAAGGCGACGAUCUGUAGCAGGUCUGAGAGGACGACCAGCCAUACUGGGACUGUGUCACGGCCCAGACUCCUACGGGAGGCAGCAGUGUGGAAUUGUGGACAAUGACCCCUAGUCUGAUCCAGCCUUGCCGCGAGCGGUAAGAAGACCUUCGGGUUGUAAACCGCUUUUGUCAGGGAAGAAACGGCUUUCUCUAAUACAGAGGGCUAAUGACGGUACCUGAAGAAUAAGCACCGGCUAACUACGUGCCAGCAGCCGCCGUAAGAC